AAAACCAUGUGUCACUAAUUCUAGAAAAUGAUAUAUAUAAAAAGACAGGCUAUUCAAAGCAUCCACGCUUGCCUUCAUGAUAAACAAUUAAAUUCUAACUAAGAAGAUGAUACCAAAAAGUAUCAUUGUGUCGAAAUAAUUAGUCUUUUUUUUUUUUUUUUUUUUGUCAACCAAAUAAUUAGUCUUCGAAAGAGCUAUAAUGAGAAUGUCAUUUUUGUACUCAACUCACAACCUCUUUUCUAUAUAUAUUCUUCAUCGAUUUUUGGUACUUUAUGUUUUCUUCUUUUCUAAAAUGAAUAUAUUUAUCUUUCGCUAUUUGUUUCCCUUUACAAAGGCGUCAUUUGGAGUAUGAU
rnacentral:lncRNA from 1 species